UACGAACGCUGGCGGCGUGCUUAACACAUGCAAGUCGAACGGAAAGGCCCUGCUUUUGUGGGGUGCUCGAGUGGCGAACGGGUGAGUAACACGUGAGUAACCUGCCCUUGACUUUGGGAUAACUUCAGGAAACUGGGGCUAAUACCGGAUAGGAGCUCCUGCUGCAUGGUGGGGGUUGGAAAGUUUCGGCGGUUGGGGAUGGACUCGCGGCUUAUCAGCUUGUUGGUGGGGUAGUUGCUUACCAAGGCUUUGACGGGUAGCCGGCCUGAGAGGGUGACCGGCCACAUUGGGACUGAGAUACGGCCCAGACUCCUACGGGAGGCAGCAGUGGGGAAUAUUGCACAAUGGGCGGAAGCCUGAUGCAGCAACGCCGCGUGCGGGAUGACGGCCUUCGGGUUGUAAACCGCUUUCGCCUGUGACGAAGCGUGAGUGACGGUAAUGGGUAAAGAAGCACCGGCUAACUACGUG
rnacentral:rRNA from 1 species